CACUAUCGGUAGCUCAUGUGUCAGUCUCAUGACUUCACCUGCUUUCAGGAACCGGCAUCAUAAAACUGAAUAAUAUGACAUCACAGUACAAGACCUGGUAACAGUAGGUUUCUUUUUAUUCCGGAAUAACUGUGGUCAACUUUCAUUAAUGUGGAAGUUGACUGAUUAAUGUUAAGAAUCAAAGUGUAGAAUAAAGCUGUAACCUAUACUCAACAUUGUAGUUUGAAAUUUUUAGCAUUUCUUUCCCUAAAACGUUCAUAGCAGAGGUGUUCAUCUCACUUGCCUGUUUCACCUCUAAAUACCACCACAGUUACUGGGGUUGUGUGAGGUAAAGGAAUAAACCCAAUGGCUAUUAACCUGUCACGGCUCUCUGGAAUUCUGAUGGAAAAGGUGCUCUGGCCACAUCCUACAAAGUGCUUAGAGCUCAACCUAAGACCUUAAAUAGAGCUACCAUCACUCCUGCCUGAGCCGAACAGGUUCCCAACCACAGCAGCUCCUCCUCCUCUGCCGUCCCACCACUGAUUAGCUUCCUGUGAAGGAAACAAUGGAAACGGGAUUGGUUUUUGAGCCAAACACCAUAAAAAUGUCGGUGUUCUAAACAGUGAGGAAACCUCAACAAGAUCUGGUUUUGGCAGGGGAAUAGCGAAUGGGGCCCAAAUUAUACAAGACUCCAAAAACUCAGGAAGACCCUAUCCAGGAGGGAAGAAGGGAAAGCAGGCUGGUAACC